UUGACUACGUGCUCUCAAAUACUCACACACAUUCAAACAUUCGUAAGCUUAGCGGCGAGUAGCAGCCCUUAGUCCACAACUAUGCAUUUAAACGCGUAUAAAACCGUUAAAGUUAAGCGCUCGUAAGAUUAGUUGUAUUUGACAGCGCAUGCUGCUCAGAAGUAGUACUUAGAGAGUGAGCUUAGCGCAAUUACACAUACAUACAUACAAACUUGCAUGCGUGCCUAAGAUGAUGAAAUUCUGCGGUGUUUUUCUAUUUUUAUGGGUUUGCCUGGCAGUUGAGGCACGUCCACAGGACAUUGUCAUACAUACCUCGGUGAGCGCAACAGCGGUUGCAUCGGUGGAUCAGGCCAGCAAUGUGCGUACUUUCACCAAUGUUGCCACUGCAAGUGCCGUGCAAAACAAUGUCUAUCAUAUUUUACUGCCACAAGGAUAAUUAAAUACUGCUUUUAGUAUUAUAUUUAAGAGGGAAAGAGAAAAGAAAUAUUUUCUUUUUAGAUUUUAUUUUUUUUUAGCAAAUAUUAUGGUUCAAAAUACUUAAUUUAUUAUUAAAACUAAUAAUGAAAAUACUUUGAAAAAACAAA